CUUGGUGACAGGGAAGAGCUCCAGCGUCUCCUUUCCUCUCCAGUCUGUCCCCCGGGGCCGAGAGUGAGCUUUCUGGAACACAGAUGUGGUCUGUCACUCCUCCUGCAGCUGCAAUCUCUCAAGCAGAGCAUUCGACUGCUCCUGACUCUGGACCCUUCCUUCUGUCCGGCUUCGUCUCCAGCCUCAAAUCCGCAACCCGAGGCCUGGCCAGGUGAGGCAGGAUCCACCUUCCGGAAGACCCCGGGCCUGGUCAGCCCUGAGGCUGGCACAGCUGCGACCCCACCAGACCCUAGGACAGAGCUGAGGGCCCCUCUACACACGCACGUGCGCGCACACACACACACAGGGCUAAAAGACCCACUGGGCAGUGGAAGUUGCCACCAGGGAGCCACGGGCUGCAGCUCUCCAGUGUGUGUUGGUACCACGGACAGCGCCCGGGCGGGCCCUGGGGGCUACUAAAAGCCACCUGUGUGCGCGUCCUGGGACACGUUCGUGAUCUCACACAACAGGCUUCGCUGAGCACCAGCUGCAUGCCCACCCCUGCUGGGCAUCGUGGGAAGCCCCAAAGGGAAAGGCCUGGUCACCGCUGCUCCCAAGCCCUGGGGUCUGCGUGGGGAACUGACUGCCGUGUCACCAACCCUUCACCUACCUCCCACAGACUGCCACAGCCACUUCUACAAGCCACAUCUGACCGUGGCACUUGGCAGACACACACACACACACACAGGCACAUGGGCGCACACACGCCCCGACUCCGUCCCUCUCCAGCGCCCAGCUGCUUUCCACACCUUCGCCUCCCCAUCCAGGAGCUUCGCCCGCGCCUCCCCAUGGAGAACCCCCACGCGGCCUUCAGAACCCCGUCAGGAGCCCCCCUUCCAGGAGGUCCCCGCCCUGUCCUCCCGGAGGCUCUGUCCCUGCCCAUUUCCCUUGGCCUUGUCACAUCCUGAAGUCCCACACACCCCAUGCCAACCCAAAGUCAGCCGAAUGUGCAACAGGAGCAGGUGACACAGGGGCUGUGUCCCCAUGGUAGGUGAUCAACCACUGCCCCAGUGACCCUUGCCUUCGACGGCUUCGGACUCAUUCAGAAGCCUACAGUGGUGUCAAAGCUGUGCUUAUGUCACCUUCGCCCUGGAAGCCCAUCUGUCCGUCAUAUCUUUGAGAACGGAGAUGGCACGGGCCGUGUGCCCAGAAUUGUCAGGAUGUGGUUAAGGGCAGCACAACCUCCGGAAGGUCAGGGUCAGUGACGGAGGGAGCUGCACCCUUGACUCCACGUCCAUCCAUCCGCUGCGAGUUCCCUGAGGGCCUGGGCUGUGUGCGCCUUGUGCAUGGCGCACAGUAGGCCUCUGUCACCAUGGUGACCGACAGACCCGAUGAAGCCUCUAGGCUCGCAGCGCAGGGCCGAGGUUCAAUCCUGUUCUGCCGUGUGCGGCUGGGUGACUCAGACACGUUCUGGAAACUUCAUCUCAGUUUCCUUGACUGUUAAAUGGGCUCGUCAAUCACGUCUACCUCGUGCCACAUCUGGAAAGAGCGCCACAGGGAAAGGAGCAGGCGCGGGCCCGGGCAACAGUGAAGGCCCCAUCAAAGCUCAUGCAGUUUCCAUGACCGCUGGGCUGAACUGUGAGGGUCACAACAGGAAUUCAGAGGACGGAGAGAGCGUCCAGAGGGCCCUUCCCGGGGCUGGGAGAAUCCAAGAGGGUGUCCGCUGAGCACUUCCUGUGUGCGGUGCACUGCCCUGACGGAACCUCCAGCCGCUCUAUAGGACGGGGACCGCGGCCAUCUCAUCAUGGUCCCAGGGGAGACAGGCACAGAGGCCAGAGAAUGUGCCAGAGCGUUUGCUGGUAGCUCCGCAUCAUGUGCGACCCCAAGAAUGGGAGGUCACCUAUCCUCCACGUGUGUGCAACCUGUCAAGGCGCGUCCUGCCGUCACGUCUAACUAAGAAGAGAAACAUGUAAAAAUAAAAAUAAGCUUAAAAAAAAGAACUUGCCAGAGAUCGCUCAGCUGGAAGUAGAAAAGGGGGCAGAUUGGCCCCCACAUCCUGCUCCUCACUCCUCUCGGCGCAGCUGACCUCGAGAAGGCCCGAGGCUGAGCCAGACCUUGGAGGACAAGCCACAGACAGAGGUGCCUGGGGAGGAAGCAGGGCCACAGACUGCCCCUCACUCCCUCCCCAACAGCCGGCCCAGGGCCUCUCCACCCCCGCCCCUCAGACACCACCUGUCCUCACGCACCGGCCAGCCUCCAUCGGACCCUCGCUUCCCCCAAUUCUCCUCUUCCCCAUGCCAGAGACCGUCCUGGGCAACAGCUGGCUUGGCUUGGGAGUGACCAGAGAGGGUGGUGCUGGAGCAGGGUUUUGAAGGGCCCAUAGGAGUUCACCAGGAGGAGAGAGCGUGGGAGUCAAGGGUGACCAUACAGUUGUCACCUACACUCUCAGCAUUCUGGGAAUCUCUGUGCCUCCGUUUCCUCAUCUGUAGCAUGGGAUUAAGGAGUACCUACUAGUCUCUCAGGGUUUUUGUUGUUGUUUGUUUGUUUUUUGUUUGGUACUAGAGAUUGAACCAAAGAUGCUUAACCACUGAGCCACCUCUCCAGCCCUUUUUUAUAUUUUGAGACAAGGUCUCGCUGAGUUGCUUAGGGCCUCACUAAGUUGCUGAGGCUGGCUCUGAACCUGCGAUCCUCCUGCCUCCACCUCCCGAGCCCCACCUCCCCUCCAGGCGUGCACCACAGCACGGGGCUUCUCCAGUUUUUGUAAGGACUAAACAAGCAGCUGCGGUCACCUGACCCAGUGUUCCUGCAGAGCUUGCCCCGCGCCAGCCACUGCUCUAAGCGCCUCACACCUAUUAAAAGUGGUCACACCCGCUCGGCACAGGCUGCAUGCAAUACACCUGGCUUUGCCACUGUGAAACCCUCACUGUCACGGCUGCACACCUGCUCUGAGUCCGUCACAGUGCAGACACAUCACUCUGCCCACCCUGUGGGUCCCUAUCCUCACAGAUCUCUGCAGUGACCAUCACGAUGACCAUUUUACAGAAGAGAAAGCCACAGCUCAAGGGGCUUCCCCAAGAGGACCCAGGAAGACCUGGCUGCACCAGUGGGGACCCAGGUCCAGCCAUGCCCUUCUUGCCAUGGCCAGUGACAAUCAAAUCAGUGUUUCCAGCAAGACACGAUAGAGCUCUGGACCUGCCGGAGCCUUGACGACGUGGCAGCAGAGGGGUGAGUGAAUCCAGUGUCCUUCGAAGUUGGAGGCAUCGUGGCCAACCACCCCUCCCACCCAGGACGGAUGUGAACAGGAAGCAAGGUCCAGGGUUCCCGCAAGGCGCUUCACCACAGGACACAUGUGCACUUCCGAAAGGCCACCUCGUGAGUGUCCCUGGAGGAGGGAACAGCUGGGGUCAUAGCAGCGUCAUGUGGGCGAUUUCAUCAGAGCCGAUCCUGAGAGUCAGCUUUCCUAGGAGGGGAGGGAACAGGGCCCAGGAAGGUGCUGACCACGUGGAAGUGGAUGACGUGAAGCAGGAACUCGGGGUAGGGCUGGGGGUAGGCAGAGGGACAGGGGGCCUGGGCUUGGGGCUGUAAGGCUCAGCUCUGCAUUUCCUGGAGGGGCAGCCUCAGGGGCUCCCCAUGGCCCCCAGAGUCAAUUUAUGAGAAUUUAAAAUAUGAACUCCAAGUAGUGAAGCCAGGCACGGUGGCACACGCCUGUCAUCCCAGCGACUCGGGAGGCGGAGGCAGGAGGAUCGUGAGUUCAAAGCCAGCCUCAGCCAAAGCGAGGUGCUAAGCAGCUCAGGGAGACCCUGUCUCUAAAUAAAACCCAAAACAGGGCUGGGGAUGUGGCUCAGGGGUCCAGUGCUCCUGAGUUUAAUCCCCAGUACAAAAAAAAAAAAUCCGCAUCAUAUUUGCAUAUUGAUUGGUUAACACAUCUUAUAAUCUUACUCAUCACUCCUGUGGCCAGGCACAAUGGCGCACGGCUAUGAUCCCUGCCACUUGGGAGGCUUGGGCAGGGAGAUCCUAAGUUUGAGGCCAGCCUGGGCAACUGAGUGAGAUCCCAUCUCAAAAGAAAAUGUCUGUUUUGUGACUAGAGAUUGAACUCGGGGGUCCUGAACCACGAGCUAGAUUCCCAGCACAUUUUCAUUUUGACACAGGGUCUUGCUAAGUUGCCGAGGGUCUUUGCUGUCCUCAAAUUUGCGAUUCUCCUGCUUGAGCCUCCCAAGUCAAUGGGAUUACAGGCCUGCACUACCGCUCCCAGCAAGAAAAUGUUCUCUCUCUCUCUCUCUCUCCCCCUCCCUCCCCCCUCCCCAUCUUCCUUCUUCCUUAUAAUUUACUUAAUGAAGAAACUUCUCCUUCCUCCCCCUCCAUUUUGUUGGGUCAUUUGUCUGAUAGAGCAUCUCAUGGUGUAGAUUUUGUGGAUAAGGUCAACAUUUCCACCUGUGAAAUGGGGGUGAUCCUUCUCCCCAACAUUAAGUGAGGUAAUGAUGUGAAUGAGGACAGACAAUCAAAGGCACCCCACAAGUGUCAUGUGUUAAUAUGUGUCUGAGUCUUCAGUAA